rnacentral:rRNA from 1 species
UACGUAGGGCGCGAGCGUUGUCCGGAAUUAUUGGGCGUAAAGAGCUCGUAGGCGGCUUGUCGCGUCUGCUGUGAAAACGCGGGGCUUAACCCCGCGCUUGCAGUGGGUACGGGCAGGCUUGAGUGUAGUAGGGGAGACUGGAAUUCCUGGUGUAGCGGUGGAAUGCGCAGAUAUCAGGAGGAACACCGAUGGCGAAGGCAGGUCUCUGGGCUAUAACUGACGCUGAGGAGCGAAAGCAUGGGGAGCGAACAGG